GACUGCUGACCCCCAGACCUGAUGGAGAGAAGAGCUAAAAAGGCCCUUGGGGACAGGCCUGGCAGUGCCGGGGACCCCAACACCUUUCUGCUUGUCUCAGAGCUUGCAUCCCAGAGCGGAGGGAGGACAGUCGCAGCAUGGCUGAGUCCUGUCUGCCCCCACACAGGCAGGGCAGCUCCUCGGGGCUCCACGGGGCUUCAGGCCAGCCAGGCCGAGCCGAGCCAGGCAGCGAGCGGCUGAAACUCAAUCCAGUGGUGGCUCAGAUGUAACCACAGUUCUUGCCUUGGGGAAGCCUGGCUGUGACCAGAAGGCAGAGAAAGUGACCUUCCAGGCCACCUUCCCUGGAGCAGCAGUGCGGGGACACAUUUCAGGGUUUGAGGGGGAGCCCAGCCUUGGCCAGGGCGACAGUCUGUUCCAAGGGCAGCCUCCUGCUGGGAAGGCAGGCACGGUGAGAGAACCCCAGAGCCUGUCUGCAGCGGCUUACUUCCCCUGAAGCUGGCAUCUUCCAUUCAGGGGCUGCCUGGGGGGGUGAAGGGAAGUGGCCCACGGCUUGCUGUCCCCAAAACCUGGUCCUCUUCCUUUGCUGGCACCCACAUAUGGCACACAGGCACCAGGUCCGAUAGGCACCUGUGGACCGCUGCCCUGGGAAGGGGAUGAGUGGAGUCUUUCCUGAGGGAUUCUCAAGGCAGAAACUAGCGCCUCCCAAGUUUCCCCCAACAUUUCCAGCUGGACGGUGGAACCACUGAGCUAAAUCCCCGGCCCUCUAACCUGCACUUUGAACUGACGAAUGCUGAUCAGGGCUCUCUGUACAAGCACAGAGCCCUGCGUCUGAACCCACAGCUGUAGGAUUCGCCUCAUUUCUUUUCACGGUCUCAUUGAAGGCAGGAGCAAGGCCGCCCCAGGCAGCCGCUCCAGAUCUCCAAAAGGGACCCCAGGCACUGGCCGAAAGCACACAGGGCCACCAGAAGCAGGAAGGGUGAAAGCCAGGCUGCCCUCAGAACUGCCUCUCUCAGCAGCAGAAGGUAAAUGUCUCUGGGACAAGGAAACAGCCCUCAAGAGGUGACCGCAUGGGCAGAACUGGCAGAAGUAUGACCAGGUCUCCUAAAGGCAGGGUGGAGGGGAGCAGCCGGCUUGCUCUCCAUUCUGUGCAUCCUGCUGGCUGCCUCCCAGGCUCCCAGGCCCUGGGGAGUUUUCCAACCUUUCUGCAUGAGAACAAUCUCCUGCUUCCAUCCAUCCCCCACUGCCCCUGUGUAAGCCCGGGCCAAGACCCAAGCUGAAGCAGCCUCUGCCUCCAGCCCCGCCUCCUGCUCCCCUCCAGGGCCAGCCCAGGUGUCCUCCUGGGCUCCCGUCCACAGUAGUGGGGGGAAGGCCUUUCCUUUCUGACUCCCAGACAUGCUUGGAGGUGGGGGCGACAUAUCCCAUGACCGCCUGGGUCCUGUGCCACAGGGAUGGGAAUGGGACAGAGCGCUGGCACUGCUGUGUCCAGAGAAAGGGGGGCUUUGGUAGCUUCUGAAUGGGCCAGGAAGCGAAGGACCCCAGCCCCUGGCCUUGGGAGAUGGCAACAGUGUCACUGAGAGCUCCUGCAGCUGGGGUGGGAGAGUGGGGGACAAGGAGACCAGGAGGAACCCAGACAGCAGGCUGGGUGACACAGAGGGAGACCUUGCCACAUGAAGGAGCAAGCGAAUGAGCGAGAUCUGCUGUCCCUCUGAGCCAGCCAGGCCCUUGCGAAGGAGCAAGGGAACCCCAGCCUGCUCCACAAAACACAGGUGAAGGAGCUGGGGAGCUGGGGAUGGAGGUCAGUGGUGCUGCCCCUGCCUGGCAAGCACAAAGUCCUGAGUUCGAUUCCUGGUACUGGGAAGAAAAAAGAACUGGAGGGCUGGAGCCCAAACUCACGCACACUUACUUCUGAAGAAGAGCCUGUGCCCCUGGACAGCCCUGCAGCCCCCUCCCUGCUUCCAGUGGGGAAGAUCCACAUGCUUGCCCAGCCUCGGCCAUGCCAGUCUGUGGUGGUUUCAGUCCAUAGUCGGCUGGUUCCAAGGCAGGGUGGCCUGGCAGAGGGCAUCGAAGAGGAAAAAUAAUCCAUGGCAGGCAGAAGGCAGGAGGGCAGCCAGCAGCAAGGUAUGGAAGAAGCAGCAGCAGCCUCCCCCUUUUAUCCCCUCCAGCUUAUGUGUCCUUUGGGUGGUGCCACCCACACCCAGGCUGGGCCUUCCCAUUAUCCACACCCAGAACCAUGCCAAGCCAAUCAGUGGACUAAUUGAGUAAUCAUCCACCCUUAAUCCCAGCAUCACACACCCUAGAUCCAGCCACCUCUGAAAAGCCUCACCUAUGACCACAUGAGGCUCUGGGGGACAUGUAGACACAGCCAUAACACUGAGCCAAGCGUGGUGGUGCAUGCCUGUCAUCCCAGCACUCAGGAGGCUGAGGCAGGAGAAUCACCAUGAGUUUGAGGGCAGCCUAGGCUACAUAGUGAGUCCCUGUCUCAAAAAAAAAAUAAAAUAAAAUUAACAGUCCU
rnacentral:lncRNA from 1 species